GGAGAGAUGGCCGAGUGGUCGAAGGCGCGCGCCUGGAGAGCGCGUAAGCGCCAAAAGCGCUUCAUGGGUUCGAAUCCCAUUCUCUCCG
rnacentral:tRNA from 1 species